CCCUUAGAUGUUCUGGGCUGCACGCGUGCUACACUGAUAUUGCCAAUAUGUCAUUCUUAUCCGAAAUGGAUUGGGUAAUCAAGUAAUGAAAUUUCAUGCUUGGAAUCGGUAAUUGCAAUUUUAUCGUGAACGAGGAAUUCCUAGUAAGCACUAGUCAUCAGCUAAUGUUGAUUAUGUCCCUGCCCUUUGUACACACCGCCCGUCGCUACUACUGAUUGGGUGUUCAAGUGAGAUGCUUAGACCCUUGUUGCAUGGUUCAUUAUUGUGCUCCGAAAGGAAAAAGUUUCAAGCUUGAGUGUCUAGAGGAAGUAGAAGUCGUAACA
rnacentral:rRNA from 1 species